UUCGCUAUUUGGUGAGCACGCUUCCCGGCCCUCACCGCGGGGGAGCUCGGUGAUUUCGCUCCCCACCUCAGCAGGUCGGGAAGAGCUUCCCUGUCCGCUCUCACGAAGCCUCCUCCUCCCCGUCUCCCUCGCAAAGCCACCGCCUCCUCGUCUCCCUCUCGAAGCCGUCGCCGCCCACUGCCUCGCACUCUCUUGGACUGGAUCUGUCGUCGUCCGGUGAUUUUGCUGAACACGAGCACUUCCUGCUUCCUGGCACCGCGCGCUCGGUAAAACACUAGAGCUUUCUCGCGCAUGGCAGCCUCUUCUUCGUCGCGCAAUCACCGGAUCUCCCUCCUCUUCUUCGCGCAAGGCAACAGAUCUCCCUCCUCUUCGCUGGAGCCUGGGCCCGAGGAUCCUGCAAGCCGGCAGCUGGAGAAAGGCGAGCGACAUGGCGACCUCCACAAUGCGGCUGGUGAAGGACGAGAAAGGUGAGCACCUUAGCCUUGUCACAGAUAUUUUUCUUUUUCAUCGAUUAUUUUUCUUUUUCCAUCAAUCAUCGGUGGCUAGUGACCCGCUGCACCCUCUUUAUUUCUUUUCUGAAGCUGAAAACAUGCAUAUCUGUGAUGCAUAAUAUAUAUAUUAAUUUUUGACUAAACGAUGACACUUGCUUAGUUGGGAGCUAUUUUACAUGUGGAUUCAGUCAUGGCCUUUCACGUUGUGUGUAGCUAGCCUCCUGAAUUCACUUCUUUAGCUAAGAUAUUUCUGUAGAACGGCCACCAAGGCUAGGCUGGUUCAGUAGUCCAUGAUUUUCACAUUGUGUACAACCUCUGACCUCAGUUCUAAAUCUAGUACAAAGAUUUAUUGCAGAACACCAGUAUGCCCGGGACUCUGUUCUGCUAAUGCGUUUGUGCCAUGUGGAGUAUUUGCUUACUCUAUUCUAGCUUUUGUAAUAAAGUAUAUUGGAUGAUGUCCCUAGCAAGUUUACUAUCUAAAGAUGUGGACAGUGUAUUUUCUAUUGCGUUUUAUCUAUUCUUUUGAUAUGAUAUAGCAGUAUGGUAUCCUCUGCCAAAGGACACUUUGUCUGCGUCAGACAC
rnacentral:lncRNA from 1 species